GAGCGGCUUGUAGGGUAUUCCUUCAGAUCCUCAUAGGUUCCCAAGCAGGCAUGUUGUCCAUGCUCCUCAGGGUAUUUCAGAGAGAGAAUAGAAUACACACAGACACCAGACCAAGGCAGAAGGAGGCCGACCGCCCAUCAUGGUGGGAAAGGGCAAGAAACAACUGGUCAUGGAGAAGGCACAGGUCUGCUGGGGAGGCAUCACCCCAAGCCCCCACCAUCAAUGAGCAGGAGAAGAGACACGAGAGGUUGGAGAAGCUCAAAAGAGAGCUCCAGAACAUAAAAAAUGCCAGAGACGAACUUCAGGGAAUCCUGGCCAACUACACUAACAAGGAUUUAAAUGACAGGAUCAACUUUGAGACAUUCAUGCUUGAGAUGCAACAUGACCAGGUGAUGACUGACCUGAAGAGAAUGCCCCAGGACAUCAGUGAGGCCUUGUCCAAGUGCUAGCAGUUGACUAAAGAAAAUCAGUUCUACUGCACAAAGUCAGGAUGUUGAGGAAGGAGAACAGACAGCUGCUAAGGGAGCAGAUUGCAUUGGAAGAAGGCAACACAGAAACAAAAAUACUAUGUAAGGAAGGCAGCCAGAAGAUCAAAGACCACUAUACUAAGCAGCAGCAGGUCUGAAAUAUUCUGCAGAAGCUCAAACAGAUCAGAGACCAGGUCAAGAUCUUGCUCAGACACAACUGUUCACCAGGAGCACUGGGUGUGCAAAGCAAAUUAACCACCAUUGCAUCUAAUCCUUGUAACCAUGGCAAUCUUGGGCUGCAUUUUCUUCUUUUUUGGUUUGCUAUGGGUAAUGAGGCCUUUAUUUUGUCUAGCCUCUGGUCCAGCAAGACUGCCUGUUUGGAAGGCUUCAGAGUAGUGCUAAGAUACAUCAAGAUCUGCUCGGCAUCCAGGAGGGCUAUGAGAAUGCCAAUUUUGGCUGGUCCUGUUAGGUCAUCUAGAAUUAUAUCAUGGUGAUCAGUCAAGUGAAUUUGAAAAACUUUGAGGUAUCAUCUGUAACAUCUCUCAUGCUCAGACUUGAACAUCUCUCAUGCUUCAGCAGAACACCCACCCCAAUGAGGCAUGCCUAUAUUCAUCCUGAACAGAUUAUUACCAGCAGUGACUGCCUUUGCACUAUUUCACCAAGGCCAGCAACAGGCUGUAGGUCUGUGCUGAACAUCUGCAGCAAGAGAAUGAUGCUUAGCUUAAUUAUUUUGUUUGGUUUUGGUUAGAGUUUUGAUUUCUUUGUGUCUUUGGUUUUCCUGUGUUUCAUUUGAAGUUUCAUUAUGUAUUCAUUAUCUUUUCGUUACUGUAAUUAAUUUGCUUUUUUAGCUAAAUCUAUAUACUGUAUAAACUGACGCCCCACUUCAAGAUGUUAUUGAAUAAAAUUAGUGUAUUGUUAUAG